rnacentral:rRNA from 1 species
UCUGGUGUUGAAGGCCCUGCAAAGCAGCAUCGCGGUGGCGGAGCGUCGUUUGCGACGCCCAACACACAAAACAAGCGGUGAAUGCUUUGGGGUGGGGUGACUGCGUACCUUUUGUAUAAUGGGUCAGCGACUUAUAUUCUGUAGCAAGGUUAACCGUAUAGGGGAGCCGUAGGGAAACCGAGUCUUAACCGGGCGUUAAGUUGCAGGGUAUAGACCCGAAACCCGGUGAUCUAGCCAUGGGCAGGUUGAAGGUUGGGUAACACUAACUGGAGGACCGAACCGACUAAUGUUGAAAAAUUAGCGGAUGACCUGUGGCUGGGGGUGAAAGGCCAAUCAAACCGGGAGAUAGCUGGUUCUCCCCGAAAGCUAUUUAGGUAGCGCCUCGUGAAUUCAUCUCCGGGGGUAGAGCACUGUUUCGGCUAGGGGGCCAUCCCGGCUUACCAACCCGAUGCAAACUGCGAAUACCGGAGAAUGUUAUCACGGGAGACACACGGCGGGUGCUAACGUCCGUCGUGAAGAGGGAAACAACCCAGACCGCCAGCUAAGGUCCCAAAGUCAUGGUUAAGUGGGAAACGAUGUGGGAAGGCCCAGACAGCCAGGAUGUUGGCUUAGAAGCAGCCAUCAUUUAAAGAAAGCGUAAUAGCUCACUGGUCGAGUCGGCCUGCGCGGAAGAUGUAACGGGGCUAAACCAUGCACCGAAGCUGCGGCAGCGACACUAUGUGUUGUUGGGUAGGGGAGCGUUCUGUAAGCCUGUGAAGGUGUGUCGUGAGGC